CUGGGCCUCUGUGGGCAUCUUACCGGACAGUGCUGGAUUUCUCGGCUUGACUCUAACACUGUCUGGUAACGAUGUUCAAAGGUGACCCCC
ensembl:miRNA MIR200A microRNA 200a